rnacentral:rRNA from 1 species
CCUACGGGUGGCAGCAGUGGGGAAUAUUGGACAAUGGGCGAAAGCCUGAUCCAGCCAUGCCGCGUGUGUGAAGAAGGCCUUCGGGUUGUAAAGCACUUUCAGUGGGGAAGAAAGCCUUGGGGCUAAUACCCUCGAGGAAGGACAUCACCCACAGAAGAAGCACCGGCUAACUCCGUGCCAGCAGCCGCGGUAAUACGGAGGGUGCGAGCGUUAAUCGGAAUUACUGGGCGUAAAGCGCGCGUAGGCGGUCUGAUAAGCCGGUUGUGAAAGCCCCGGGCUCAACCUGGGAACGGCAUCCGGAACUGGCAGGCUAGAGUGCAGGAGAGGAAGGUAGAAUUCCCGGUGUAGCGGUGCAAUGCGUAGAGAUCGGGAGGAAUACCAGUGGCGAAGGCGGCCUUCUGGACUGACACUGACGCUGAGGUGCGAAAGCGUGGGUAGCAAACAGGAUUAGAUACCCGAGUAGU